rnacentral:rRNA from 1 species
UACAGAGGGGGCAAGCGUUGUUCGGAAUUACUGGGCGUAAAGGGCGCGUAGGCGGCCUGCUAAGUCGAACGUGAAAUCCCCGGGCUCAACCCGGGAACUGCGUCCGAUACUGGCAGGCUUGAAUCCGGGAGAGGGAUGCGGAAUUCCAGGUGUAGCGGUGAAAUGCGUAGAUAUCUGGAGGAACACCGGUGGCGAAGGCGGCAUCCUGGACCGGCAUUGAC